AUGGAGCUCGCGCCGUUGAAAGCACGGACGGGAAGGUGCAAGAAUAUUGGGGAAGAUGGCGAGAAGAUUGCGGGGAGUUUGCUAGCGAGAGGAAAGGAGAUACUGUAUUUGGCUAGGUUUUGGAUAUAUAUAAACACAAAAGGGCGGCGGCGGCCUGAGCUAUUCCACCGUCGCUUCAUCCUCCGGCCACUGGAAGGUAAAGAUUCAACUCCUCCACGCCGCUCGUACUUCUUCCUCCUCGCCAUCUCUCUGCGCGUGAACAAUUUGAGGUUCGGUAUCUUCUCCAUGUUGUUUCCUAACUAUGAAGAGGAAAUUAAUAAGAUGACCAUUCUCAUACGACAAGUUAAUGUGGGCCGGUCAUAUCUAGUGCCUGAAGAAGUAAAAGAGGACUGCUACCUACAGGCGACGGUUCUGAAGGAAGAGAAUGCCCGUAAGAGAAAGUCGGAUGAUGUGGGAUGGGAGUAUGGGAGUCUAGCCGAUGUUUCCAACAAGGACAAAGUGAAGUGUUUGUUUUGUAACCAUGUGAUCAUUGGAGGUGUUUAUCGUCACAAGCAGCAUGUGGCUCACGUUGGUAAUUUUGUGGCUAAAUGUAAGAAAAGCUCGCAGGAAGCUAAAGAUAGGUGCAAGAAAUCUCUUGAGGAGGCAUCUAAGAAGAGGAGGGAAAAGACUUCCCGUGAGCUAGAGCUC
rnacentral:rRNA from 1 species